UAUGAACGCUGGCGGCGCGCCUAAUACAUGCAAGUCGAGCGAGAAGACGUAGCAAUACGUUUGUAAAGCGGCGAACGGGUGAGGAAUACAUGGGUAACCUACCCUCGAGUGGGGAAUAACUAGCCGAAAGGUUAGCUAAUACCGCGUACGCUCCUUGGACUUCGGUUCAGGGAGGAAAGCGAUACCGUGGGUAUCGCGCUCUUGGUUGGGCCCAUGUCCUAUCAGCUUGUUGGCGGGGAACGGCCC
rnacentral:rRNA from 1 species